rnacentral:rRNA from 1 species
GAUGAACGCUAGCGGCAGGCUUAACACAUGCAAGUCGAGGGGCAGCGCGGGGCGGCAACGUCCUGGCGGCGACCGGCGGAAGGGUGCGUAACGCGUGAGCGACAUGCCCGUUGCCCGGGGACAACCGGUGGAAACGCCGACUAAUCCCCGAUGGGACGGAGGCCCUCAUGGGUCUCUGUUGAAAGUUACGGCGGCGACGGAUUGGCUCGCGUCCGAUUAGCUUGUUGGCGGGGUAACGGCCCACCAAGGCUACGAUCGGUAGGGGUUCUGAGAGGAAGGUCCCCCACAAUGGAACUGAGACACGGUCCAUACUCCUACGGGAGGCAGCAGUGAGGAAUAUUGGUCAAUGGGCGGAAGCCUGAACCAGCCAUGCCGCGUGCGGGAAGGAGGCCCUAUGGGCUGUGAACCGCUUUUGCCUGGGGGCAAUAAGGGCGUCGCGCACGUCCGAUGAGAGUACCAGGGGAAUAAGCAUCGGCUAACUCCGUGCCAGCAGCCGCGGUAAUACGGGGGAUGCGAGCGUUAUCCGGAUUCAUUGGGUUUAAAGGGUGCGUAGGCUGUGCGUCAAGUCAGGGGUGAAAUUCCGGGGCUCAACUCCGGGGCUGCCCUUGAUACUGUCGCGCUGGAGUGCGGAUGCCGCCGGAGGAAUGAGUGGUGUAGCGGUGAAAUGCUUAGAUAUCACUCAGAACACCGAUUGCGAAGGCAUCUGGCGAAUCCGUAACUGACGCUGAGGCACGAAAGCGUGGGGAUAGAACAGGAUUAGAUACCCUGGUAUUCCACGCCGUAAACGAUGAUGGCUAACCGCCGGCGACAUACUGUCGGUGGCCAAGCGAAAGCGAUAAGCCAUCCACCUGGGGAGUACGUCGGCAACGAUGCAACUCAAAUGAAUUGACGG